rnacentral:rRNA from 1 species
CAGGACGAACGCUGGCGGCGUGCCUAACACAUGCAAGUCGAACGGUAAGGCCCUUCGGGGUACACGAGUGGCGAACGGGUGAGUAACACGUGGGUGAUCUGCCCUGCACUUUGGGAUAAGCCUGGGAAACUGGGUCUAAUACCGAAUAUGACUAUGGACUUCACGGUUUGUGGUGGAAAGCUUUUGCGGUGUGGGAUGGGCCCGCGGCCUAUCAGCUUGUUGGUGGGGUAAUGGCCUACCAAGGCGACGACGGGUAGCCGGCCUGAGAGGGUGUCCGGCCACACUGGGACUGAGAUACGGCCCAGACUCCUACGGGAGGCAGCAGUGGGGAAUAUUGCACAAUGGGCGCAAGCCUGAUGCAGCGACGCCGCGUGGGGGAUGACGGCCUUCGGGUUGUAAACCUCUUUCAGCUCUGACGAAGCGCAAGUGACGGUAGGAGCAGAAGAAGGACCGGCCAACUACGUGCCAGCAGCCGCGGUAAUACGUAGGGUCCGAGCGUUGUCCGGAAUUACUGGGCGUAAAGAGCUCGUAGGUGGUUUGUCGCGUUGUUCGUGAAAUCUCACAACUCAAUUGUGAGCGUGCGGGCGAUACGGGCAGACUGGAGUACUGCAGGGGAGACUGGAAUUCCUGGUGUAGCGGUGGAAUGCGCAGAUAUCAGGAGGAACACCGGUGGCGAAGCGGGUCUCUGGGCAGUAACUGACGCUGAGGAGCGAAAGCGUGGGGAGCAAACAGGAUUAGAUACCCUGGUAGUCCACGCCGUAAACGGUGGGUACUAGGUGUGGGUUUCCUUCCUUGGGAUCCGUGCCGUANCUAACGCAUUAAGCGCCC